rnacentral:rRNA from 1 species
UGACCUCAAAUGCACGUAGAACUUACCCCA